rnacentral:rRNA from 1 species
AUUGAACGCUGGCGGCAUGCCUUACACAUGCAAGUCGAACGGCAGCACGGGAGCAAUCCUGGUGGCGAGUGGCGAACGGGUGAGUAAUAUAUCGGAACGUGCCCAGUCGUGGGGAUAACGUAGCGAAAGUUACGCUAAUACCGCAUACGAUCUACGGAUGAAAGCGGGGGGACUCGCAAGAGCCUCGCGCGAUUGGAGCGGCCGAUAUCAGAUUAGGUAGUUGGUGAGGUAAAGGCUCACCAAGCCGACGAUCUGUAGCUGGUCUGAGAGGACGACCAGCCACACUGGGACUGAGACACGGCCCAGACUCCUACGGAGGCAGCAGUGGGAAUUUGGACAAUGGGCGCAAGCCUGAUCCAGCAAUGCCGCGUGCAGGAUGAAGGCC